rnacentral:rRNA from 1 species
UGGGGAAUAUUGCACAAUGGGCGCAAGCCUGAUGCAGCCAUGCCGCGUGUGUGAAGAAGGCCUUCGGGUUGUAAAGCACUUUCAGCGAGGAGGAAGGGUAGUGUGUUAAUAGCACAUUGCAUUGACGUUACUCGCAGAAGAAGCACCGGCUAACUCCGUGCCAGCAGCCGCGGUAAUACGGAGGGUGCAAGCGUUAAUCGGAAUUACUGGGCGUAAAGCGCACGCAGGCGGUUUGUUAAGUCAGAUGUGAAAUCCCCGCGCUUAACGUGGGAACUGCAUUUGAAACUGGCAAGCUAGAGUCUUGUAGAGGGGGGUAGAAUUCCAGGUGUAGCGGUGAAAUGCGUAGAGAUCUGGAGGAAUACCGGUGGCGAAGGCGGCCCCCUGGACAAAAGACUGACGCUCAGGUGCGA